AAUCAUAGCAGCAUGCUGAACCUGACUUUCACAAUUUAUAAAUUUUAAUACCGAACCUCACUCUUUUUGAUAGGUUAAAUUGUUUGUAUGAUAAGCACCCCUUAAAUUUCUUGAAUGAUUCAUCAAUGGCAAUAUUCUCUUGCACUGUGUACACUUCCUUAAAUUUUUGAUUGAACAUAUCUAUGACUGGCCUUAGUUUGUACAGCUUAUCUGUGUUGUUGGCUAAACUGUUAUUCGCUAAAUGCAGAAAUCUUCUGAAUGGCAUCGUCUUCUUAAAUAUUGGCGUUUCUAUAACGGCCCUCCUAGACCAAUACAUCUGAAUCGACGGUUUCCUUACUUCAGCCAUGAUUAUACAUAGCGCAAUGUAAAUUGUUUUCAUUACAGCCGAUAGGAGACCACUUUUGGUCUCUUUUUUUGUCUCUUCUGUUCAUUGUAGAGUACACCUUGUGCAUACCUAUUCGUUUCAGUUACGAUGUUUUCCCAAAAAUAUACUAUUAAAUAUUACAUAGAAAACGUCUAAUUCUCUUAUGCUUGUACUCACUUGCUAUAAAGCUGCUUCAUGUACUCCAGGAAUUUCCGUAUACUUACAGAUUGUUGGUUCAUUGUCUUCCUUUUGCCACAUCCGUGACUGACUGUUCCUGGUAGGUUUGCUCUUCUUUGUCAGUAUCAUCUUCAAUCACCAGCCGCUUACACUGUUUUCGUACACGAGGUAAAACAUCGCUACCACUGUCACUACCGUUGUCAAAAUAUCCUGGCAAAAUCAUUGUUGGCUAUGCCACCACAUGUCUCCCUUUCCUCGUGAACACGUUUGCUACACGUCGGGAACAUUGUGAAAGUAUUUUUAUAAUUUCUACAGCUCCAAAUGCGGCAAAGAAUCCUUCACGUAUGCCGCGUGUGCUCGAUCAGCUCCGCAACAUGUCAGAGAUGUUCUGUUUAAAUUUUGCGCAGUAAACGUACCACAUCUCUUGAUACGUCGAGUUGAUGUUUGGCCAGGAAUCGAGGAAAAAGCCUUUUACGACUGCAGCAAGCUGAAACAACAUCUGGGGGCGGGAGGACAUUUUUCAAUGAUGAUGUCCACACAGCAGUUCUCAAAUAGCUCCUUAAACAAUGAGCAAGUUUCUACAGUCAAGAAAUCGAAAGAAUGGUGGAACAGUCUUUUUAAGGUUUGUUGAGUAUGUAGAAAAAUAGUGUCAUUUAUCCGUGUCACUUUGAAAUUUAGUUCAGCAUUCAAUAAAAGUUACUUAGUCUACCACAAUACUGUGUAACUUGCUUUUUCACGUUCUCUUGUAUAUACUUGGAGGAGCAAAUAAAAAUGGCCCAGACCAGUGCAUAUGUUUCGAUGUGAACGUAUGCAUAUAACCACACUCCAACAGGAUGGAGCAACUGCCCACAGAGCUGGCCAAACCUUGGAUAACAUUUACACACUCUUCAGGCCUGACAGCACUGUUAACAGAGGUCAGUCCGGUUGCGGCACUAGUUGGCCACCCAGGUCACAUUAUCCGUCAGUGGGCGACUGCUUUGUGUAGGGAACCCUCAAGCCUGAGGUGUAUUGCAACAACCCUUGUAGACUUCAAGAACUGCGGCAUUACAUUUUGGGUGAGACUGCAACAAUUCCAGCAGUCCAGCUUCGAUCCGCCUUUAGCAACUUACUGACCAGAUCCCAUAAGUGCCAAGAGAUGAAUGGUGGUACUUUCAACAUCUGCUAUAGUCAGCACUGGAAAUCAACAACAGAAAAAAUAGACUGUAAAAAAUCUGAAGAAAGACAAGUGAAUUGCAAUUUACAACCACGUGCCGAGAUUUGAAGAACUGAUGAAGAAGCA